rnacentral:pre_miRNA from 1 species
UCCUAUGGAUGAGCAAAGAAAGUGAUUUCUUGAAAUAGAAUCUACUCUUGGCGAAGAUGCUGUGAA